GUCUAUGGCCAUGCCACCCUGAACAAGCCUGAUCCCAUCUGCUCUCAGAAGCUAAAUAGGUUCGGGGCUGGUUUUUCCUUGGAUGGGAGACCUCCUAGGAAGACCGGUGCUGUAGGCA
rnacentral:rRNA from 1 species